rfam:Oreochromis niloticus linkage group LG8-24, whole genome shotgun sequence.
ACAAAGGCUCUUUCCUUUGAGCACAAGUAACCCAUUGCACUACAGAGCCACCGUAUUUAAACAUGCUGAGUUUGU